GACGAACGCUGGCGGCGUGCUUAAUACAUGCAAGUCGAACGGAAAGGCGCUGCUUUUGUGGGGUGCUCGAGUGGCGAACGGGUGAGUAACACGUGAGUAUCCUGCCCUUGACUUUGGGAUAACUUCAGGAAACUGGGGCUAAUACCGGAUAGGAGCUCCUGCUGCAUGGGGGGGGUUGGAAAGUUUCGGCGGUUGGGGAUGGACUCGCGGCUUAUCAGCUUGGUGGUGGGGUAGUGGCUUACCAAGGCUUUGACGGGUAGCCGGCCUGGGAGGGUGACCGGCCACAUUGGGACUGAGAUACGGCCCAGACUCCUACGGGAGGCAGCAGUGGGAAAUAUUACACAAUGGGCCGAAGCCUGAUGCAGCAACGCCGCGUGCGGGAUGACGGCCUUCGGGUUGUAAACCACUUUCGCCUGUGACGAAGCGUGAGUGACGGUAAUGGGUAAGGAAGCACCGGCUAACUACGUG
rnacentral:rRNA from 1 species